UUUUGCUUUCGGAUUGAGUCAGCCUCAUGACUUGUUAAUUUAAUAAUUUAAUGGUCAUGAAAUAAUUUCUAUGGCCAUUCUCUCUCUGAUUCUAGUACGGCAAUUGUCUGUUACUGGCAUAAGUAUAUGUACUCAGUAAGGCCAGGAAAAGGUUAACUUAAUGACCACACUACUACGACUAAAAUGCAUUUUUGUGUGUGUAGGAUCAAUUUAAAAAAAAGAUAAAAUUUGAGUACUUUUUAGCUGUUUCCUACAGGACCCCGUACAAUUACAGAUUGGUGCACAGCUGAACAACAGGCUCUCUCUCCUAAGCCAGGCCUGAACGCAUGGGGUCACUUCCUGUGUAUGGGUGGCCAAAUGUCAAACUAGUACCAAUCUGUGCCCAAAAAGCAGCCGUAGCCGUGGGGGGCAGGUUUAUGAUGCAACCGUGGUCUCAUUGCUCUCUGAACAUCUCUUUCCCAACAGCAACAGUACAGCAACAUGACCUGGGUCAUACCGUUGCCAGUUCAAGCUUAGAGGACCAUGUUCCCCAAAUCCAAUGUGGCCCUAUAUCUCAACAGCGACUGGGAGGUCAGGCUUGGAUCCUCACUCUUGGAGCAUUCUUAUAAGGAGUCCUCCAAAGACAUAAAGAAUACCUCGCAGAGCUAAUGAACAGAGCCAGUGCGUAGAACAUGAUUUUUAGGAGGAAUAGGAACCUAGGCCCAAUAUCAACCUGGUUCCAAUCUCGCGAAGAUGUCCACCGGCCGCCCCCUAGCACAAGCCUCGUUAGCCCCAAGGUGUUGUCAUGAUGCCCCUGGACAACAGCUCUUGUUGGGCUCUUCCCAAUAGCAGUAGAUCAACAUGGCAUAUCAGCAUGAUGCCCCAAACCAGCGCUUCAUAUUUAGCUACCAGCAGUAUCCAUGCAACCAAACCUUGAUCACUCAGCAACAGAUAAAUCAGCAGCAGGGAUGGAGUUAGCCGUUUCAACGUCUGCUCAGUUGCCUCUCAGAGCCAGUCGGCUUGCUGUGUUGCUUAGCCAAUCCACUACUUAUGUCGCAGCACAAUAUCUCAUCUGGAUCCAUUCCACUGCUGGCGCAACAGCAGGUCUGUUCUCUGUACAGAGCCGUUUCUAUGACGAUGAAGUCCUACAACUCGCCCAGUACUUGCUUUUGCGUCAGGGUCAGGUUCAAGGCCUCAUGGGCUUUGGUGGUCUGGGCAAGAUGGGAAUGUUAGACAGCAACAACAACAGUUAAGAAUAGAGCAACAGCAUAAUAGACAGACACAGCAGCCAUGGCCACAACACCAACAAUAGCAGUAACAGAUGAUGGCUUAGCUUCAUCAGCAACAGCAGCAGCAGGAGCAACAAGAUCUUUAAUCAAUGGGUCAUUUAGACGUCACUUUAGAAAUUCAGAAGAUCUUCAUGAAAGAAUAAACAUGGAUUGCAUGGCAUUGAGUUUGGUUUGGAAGCAGUUACUAUCGCAGAACUCGAGCCAGCAAAGGUCAUCCUCACAGGAAUCCAGUAUCUCCAUGGUGCAGGACCCACAGUCUAUGAACGUUGUGGAGCUUGAACCUUGGACGCCAAUUGACAAAUCCAAACCGUCCAAUCAGAAAGACAGUCUGUUGCAGCGGUUAGUCAAAUCUAGGAUGCUCAGUGAUAAACAUAAAUUAACACAUGCUAGUCUCUAAUUGCCUGCAUUGGCUGUGUUGAAGUCUUGCUGUCCGUUCUGAACACUUACAAUAGAAGCCCUCAUCUUAGAAUUUUGGGAUAGGUCGAAACCCAGUGGCAUGGUGCAGACUAACAUCGCAGAAUGACAAAGAAGUACAAGCCCUGUGACCAGCAAUAAACUAAUGUGGCCAGCUAUGUUGUGUCAUGUGACCAGCCAAGCUGUGCAUAAAGAGAAAACUAUAGUUCAUGUCUUGUGGGAUUUAUGACGCUUUCAGUGAUUUGCUGUUCUAUGUUUUUGUGAUAUAUAUAGUUAUUUAUAAUCAAGUGAAGAUUACUUGUUUAAAGUGAUUAUGUAAAGUAUUAUUUGAAGUUCAAAAGAGUGCAAGCCUGUGUUGCUACUUUGUCUGUAUUGGAAAGUUUGAUCCAGAUGUUGGUAAAACAUAGAACAUAAACAUAUUUUUUAUUACAUUGAUUUCAAACUUAAGCAAAGUUGUUUAAAUAAUAUUGUUAACUUGAAUAAAUUUUCAAACAUUUAUCGGCUUUUUUCAUGAAAUAAGACAAUCUACAGUAUUGUUUUUGCCAGUAAUAUAGUAAGACGUGCUAGUUAAAAGAAAUUGUUAAGAAAGAUUCAUGGACGCUUCUAUUUUGAUUUGCCUGUCUUUGUGUCUGUAUACAAUACUCAUCAGUUUGCUCAUUAUAGUCACUUUUUAAACAAGAAUCUUGAGUAGUGUCAGAAAAUUAUAAAAGAAAAAUAUUAAUCAAUUAAGGACAAAAAAAUUUAUCUUCCGUAAAUUCCGUCAAUUUUUGUAUUGAAAACCGGUACUUUAUUAAUUAGUUACAAUUUUUAAUAAUUGUAUAAAAGCUGUAUACAUUUUCAAAAAGCUGAUAAAAGACGCAAAACCUAAAUUAUCAUCAUUUGAUGGAAGAUUAUUUGAAUUAAAUGAAAUUUGGAAGAUUAUCUUAAUUUGAAUUGCAAUGGUUUGUUAAAUGAUUAGAAAAUAUCUAUAAUUAAGUGGAAUGCUUUGAAUUUUUUUAAACUUAAGAUUUUAAUUUUUCUUUUAGUAAACAUGCAUCAAGAUGAGAUUACUUGUGAGUAAUUGCUCAUGGUAUGAUUUUGUUUAGCUAAUUGUAAAUGACACAAUUUGAAUUAUGACUUUAAUGUUCAUCGUUAGUUUUGAUCUUUGUAUUGGGACACAAUACUUCAUGAUGCUUUGUAUAAACUGUGCAUACUCAUAUAAAAAAACAAAUUUUCAAGUGAGUAAAUGAGUGAAUUAUUUUACCAAGUCAAUAUAUAUUUACAUUGUGCCAUUGUGGAUAUUGAGCAAAACAAAUCAUUUGCUGGUGUCAAUUGUAAAAAAAAAUCAAUUUGAUCAAUUAAUUGUUUUAUGUUAUAAUUUUGAUGUACAUCUUUUAGAUGCAAGUCAAUGGAAAGAACCUAAAUGACAAAUAAAAACACUUGUAUGCCAUACUUUUUAUCUGUCCAAUAAUAAUUUAAGCACAUGCUUGAAAAAAUAUUUAAUAAAAAAUAUUAAUAUCUGGAAAAUUUUGAAAUCAAUUACAUACAAGGGAGAGCAAUGUGAUGUGGUUUAAAUUUUCAAUAACUGCAAUUGUUAAUAAAUGUUCUAUAAUAAUUUUAGAUACAAGUGAAUUCUCAUUGCACCACAAACACUUGUUUAUGUGUUGUAACAGAAUUUAUAUGUAAUCAAAUUUAUUUUUAAAAAAUAUUAAAUUUCAAUGACAAUACAGUGUUGAUAUUUUUGUAAUUCUUAAUUUUAUUAUCACAUGUUCUGAAAAAAUGUCACUUAAAGAUAUACAUGUAUUUUAUACUAUAACUAUGAUAUAAUACUUGCUAAUUAUUCUAUGCUUGAAAUAUGGCUGAUAUUUAAUUUUGAUAGUUUACCAGUUGUGUUACAAUAUUUUUCACGUUGACCUCUCCACAUUAACCAGGAGUGCAAUCACAGAAGAAAGUUUCAAUAAAUCUCCCGAUUUAAAACUGCAAAAAAUGUCAGAAUUUCCAAAAAAUGUGCUUUUUUUUAUUCAAGUUGUUUGAAUGGCUGUUUUUGUUCUGUUGUUAAACAAUUAAAAUAGGUUUUAAUAUUUAAACAACAUGUCAUAUUUCAAUCAUAUCAUAUUGAUUGUAACAUAGAAAACAAAAUAAACCUUUGUGAUUAAUUUGUGUGUAUGUUAAGUAAAAGUAAAUGCCAUUUUAAAAUCAUGUCUUCAUUGGUUCGUCUUACUCAAAAGUGACCUUUUGCAGUGGAAAGGCUCUAUUGCAUAAAAUGAACUUUAUCGAAAAAGCACCAAGGCAUUUUUUUAUUGCUUGUGUACCACAUAGUUAUCAGGGAUUUCUUAAUUGACUACAUGAUUUUUUACACACCAGUUUGACCUUCGUUGAUAUUUUUAUCCCCGCCGAAAAAAAAAAUCGGAGGGGAUAAAGUAAUUGGUCAUGUCCGUCCGUCUGUCCGUCCGGCUGAAAUAUUGUCCGGAGCAUAACUCCAAAUCUAUUCAAUGGAUUUACUUUAAACUUAGAAUAUAAACAGAUGGCAACUAGGAAAAGUGCAGUGACCAAGAACCAUAACUCUAUCUACCUUAGUUUUUGAAUUAUCUCCCCUUUUAUAUGAUUUUAAAGUAAAUUUUUGUCCGGAACAUAACUCUAAAUCUACUGAAAGGAUUUACUUGAAACUUGAAAUAUAAACAGAUGGCAACUAGGAGAAGUGCAGUGACCAAGAACCACAACUCUAUCUACCUUAGUUUUUGAAUUAUCUCCUCUUUUAUAUGAUUUUAAGGUAAAUUUUUGUCCGGAGCAUAACUCUAAAUGUACUGAAGGGAUUUACUUGAAACUUUAAAUAUAAACAGAUGGCAACUAGGAGAAGUGCAGUGAUCAAGAACCUUAACUCAAUCUACCUUAUAUUUUAAUUAUCUCCCCUUUUAUAUAAUUUUAAAGUACAUUUUUGUCCGGAGCAUAACUCUAAAUCUACUGAAGGGAUUUACUUGAAACUUCAAACUUAAACAGAUGGCAACUAGGAGAAGUGCAUUGAUCAAGAACCACAACUCUAUCUACCUUAGUUUUUUAAUUAUCUUCCCUUUUAUAUAAUUUUAAAGUAAUUUUUUGCGCGGAGCAUAACUCUAAAUCUACUGAAGGGAUUUACUUGAAACUUGAAAUAUAAACAGAUGGCAAGUACGAAAAGUGCAGUGACUAAGAACCAUAACUCUAUCUACCUAAGUUUUUGAGUUAUCUCCCCUUUUUAUAUAACUUUAAAGUAAAUUUUGUCCGGAGCAUAACUCUAAAUGUACUAAAAGGAUUUACUUGAAACUUGAAAUAUAAACAUAUGGCAACUAGGAGAAGUGCAGUGACCAAGAACCAUAACUCUAUCUACCUUAGUUUUUGAGUUAUCUCCCCUUUUAUAUAAUUUUAAAGUAAAUUUUUGUCCGGAGCAUAACUCUAAAUGUACUGAAGGGAUUUACUUGAAACUUCAAACUUAAACAUAUGGCAAGUAGGAGAAGUGCAGUGACUAAGAACCAUAACUGUAUCUACCUUAGUGUUUAUAUUAUAUACCUUUAUUUAAUUUCGAAGUAAAUUUUUGUCCGGAGCAUAAUGAAUUAUCUCCCUUUAUUUGUUUUUACAAAUAUUAUUCUACUCUCUCAAACAUAUGUUGUCAUACAAGCAAACACAUUUCUGCGGGGAUUUGGCACUACUGUGACAAGCUCUUGUCUAAAUUGUGACCUUAUUGUUAAGAGUAUUUUACUAGUAAAUGUUGAAGUAUUUCUGUUAAGUGUUACCGACUAUUUGGUACAAUUAUUUAAACAUGUUUAACUGUCUUUGUAAUUAAAUUGAAUAUUUUCUAUAGUAGUUCAUUCAAUUACCAUAGUGUUUUGUUGAGCCAGAUGACAUUAUAUGAAUCAUGGUGUAGGGUCAACCACUACUAUAAUCAGUGGUUUAUUUGUAGAGGGAUAUAAUCAUGUGUUGUUAUAUUUGUGUACUUGUGGAACAAAGUUUGUUGUUCCACUGUUGAUAAGGUAUAUUUCUAUCCCUGAAUUUGAAAUAUUAUUGUACCUUGACACUGUGUUGCUAUCUUAAUAAAAAAAAAAUUAUG